CUGCGAUCCGUGAGCCGACCACUAAUACGUAUUCUCUGUUCUAGUAACCCCGCUCAAAUACGUAAUCUAGCAUGUUCCCCGAAACGUCUUCUUCCUCCCCUCCGUCGCCGUCGCCGGCCUCCAAUGGCCAUGGCGCUUUCCUCUCUCCUCCGGGAACCGGCCCUAAAAUCAAUGGGCAAUGGUCUGGGUAACCAUGGUAGGUAGGCCUCCUGCCGGCGACCCUGCCCCUCUUCGCCGCCAGCUUUCCAGAUCCACAAAAAGUUGGCAUCCUCAUCCUCUUGGGUAGGUAGGUAGGUAAGGUCGUGCUGCGCUGCCUGUUAGUUUCAUCUCCUGCGCUGGUUAAUUUGCUGGAUGUUACCUCCUACUCCUGCUGCUGCUGCUGCUGCUGCUUUUGUUCUCUGAAUCAAUGGAUGAUACUGAUUCGUUUCUAGUCUAUGAUUCCACUUUUUUUGGUGUUCACAUUACUAAUUUGUUACUAGGUAUGUAAAACAUUUACCAGGGAAUUUUCUAUUUCUGCUGUUGCUACCGCCUACUAUCCCUUAUGAUUUUCCUUGUGUACAAAUCAAUAUACAGUCUGACUGACCACUAAUUUGCUUGGACUGACAAAUUCAUUCAUGUAAUUGCUGAAAACUGCCAUUGCACAACACUGGGCAACAAACUUGCUGCAUUACUGGAGGUUGAGGAUGCGAUUUAUCGGAUCUUUUGAAGUUUUAAGAACCCAAUGGUCAUAUCACUCCAGCUCGAAUGUCAACAAGACUCCAUGCUCCGGCAAACAGGAGGCACGCAUCUCUGCCGUCGCAGCUCUUAUCAACGCCCGCUUUGGAGGCAGUGUCUUUGAGCCUCAGCACAGAAACCAAGCACUCCCGCAUUCUAUCUUUAUGUAUGCACCUACGAGAGUCUUGUUGAUGGUUUUGACAAAGAUAUCCAGUGACAGUAACCAGUCUAGACACACUUGCCUUGGUGAUAUGAAUAUGAGAUCUCCGCAAUACAUUGCAAUUUAGUUAGCUUCUUUGUUGACUUGUGUGAGGAUCCGAGGCAGGCAUAUAACCAUGUGGGCUCAGGCCCUGCCAAAUUGCAUCUGCGUUUUCAAACCCCCCUUUCUUUUUAAUAAGCCAAGGCGUGCGCUUCAAUUAGCUUGGUUCUUAGCCUUCUUGUUAAUGUUGACUACUGAUUAAUGAAGGAAGGAAGCUUGUUCACAAAAAAAGUUAUAUAUGUCUGUUUAUUUUAGUGUUCUUAACCUGAUCCGAUGAAUUUUUUUUAGCUACAUAAACAAAUAAAAUCGGAUUGUUUUUCUAAUAAGAAAAAAGAGGAACUUCUGAAACCCUCUAGAACUGUAGGUCCACUGGUUUACCUGAAGCAUGAAGUAAUGUUGCCUGCAUGUGCACAGUUUUGAGAAUAGAAAAACAAUUACACUGUUCCCUUUCUGGACCUCUACAGAACAAGCUCUAGUGCUACUGUUGCAAAUCACCAUGGCUCUCCAUUUAUUCGAUACAGUUGUAAAGCAUCAUCACUCUAAGGACAAUUACUAACUGAAACGUUACAUAGUUUGUUUAUUCAAGGCUAUUCUGGAUUUCUCGAGUCGAGGCUUCUUUUUCUGCUCCAUGCCCCCCUAUAAAUUUGAGCCACAUUGUUGGGUCAGCUAUCUCCAAGGUUCUAUCUGGAAGAGCAUCCUCAGCAAACUUAUGCAGAUCCAAUGAAUCUCCGAAUGUGCCUUCUGUUGGGCUCCUUCCGGUAAACAUCUCAAGCAGCAAUAUGCCAAGGCUAUAAAUAUCACCAGCCGUUGAGGCCGCAGAGCCUUCUCCAUACUCUACAAUUAUGCAAAGCUUUCUGGUUAGCAUGCCAUAUUCGAGUGAAAAGGAAAAUAUAAAAUUAGAAUAGUUUCGGUCACCUGGAGCAACAUAGCCUAUGAAACCUCUAAUUCCAGUUGAGCCAUAUGAAGUUUGCAUCCCCUCGCUUGUAUUUUCUUGAAGGAUCCUUGAUAUGCCAAAGUCACCAACUCGUGCACUCAUGUCUCCAGCAAGAAGAAUGUUGCUUGGCUUAAGAUCGCAAUGGAUUACCAAUGGUUGACAGUAGUUGUGCAGAUAUUCUAUUGCGUCCACAAUAUCAGCAGCAAUAUCGAGCCUCUGGGCAAGGCUAAGCGUGUUGUUUGUGGUCGGUUCUUGAGAUUUUGGAUGAAGCCAACCAUCCAAGUUACCAUUGGGCAUGAACUCAAAAACCAAUGCCUUGAACUCUUGACCUUGGUGGUUGACGCUCGAACAGGAAGUAAUGAUCUUAAUCAGACAACGGUGUCGUAUCCUUCUCAUGGCCUCACAUUCAACCUCAAAACUCUUGGAAUACCUAGAUUGACCAAGAUUAAAUACCUUGACAGCCAAUGUUCUAUCUUCAGUGUCCAAAACACACUUAUAAACCGCACCAUAACUUCCUCUCCCAAGCAAGUUGGCUAUUGAAAAUUCAUUAGUUCCCCUCAAUAAUGCAUGAUAUGGGAUUCUCUUGUAAUGGUCAUCAACAAUUGAAUUGUGUGCUAAUGUCUUCUGGCUUGGUUUGAGCUUCUUGCAAAAUAUCCAAAGAAGAAGAAUAACUAAAAGUGACAGCAAGAUUGCUCCGGCUGUUGCUAGAGAAAUUACAAGAGACUUUGGCAUCCUUUUUCUGUUCUUGCUUGAGGGGCUUGUGGGGCAUGGAGCCAAGUGAAGUUGAGGUGUACCACCACACAAAUUAAUAUUCCCAGCAACUACUAAGUAAGUGAUGUUUCUGAAAACACCUUCAUCUGGCACCUCACCUUGCAAAUUAUUGAAGGAUAUAUCCAGUACAGACAAUGAUGUCAAAUUCUGUAGAACUGAUGGGAUUGACCCUGAUAAGCUGUUGUGUGCUAUGUAUAGUUCUUCCAGGCUUCCAAUAUGGCCAAGAGCAUCAGGAAUAUUACCAGAGAGCUUAUUCAUGGUCAGGUUCAAUACUCUGAGCCCCUUUAUAUUUCUCAGUGACAGAGGUAUCUUGCCAAACAACUGGUUUCCUGAUAGAGUCAGUCGGUUAAGAUCUGUCAAACGACCAACUUCAUUAGGAAGGGGACCAGAAAGGGAAUUGUGUGACAAGUCCAAAUACCAAGAGAGGCCGGGUAAUUUAAAAAUCUCUGUGGGUAUUGAACCGUUAAGGUGGUAAUUCUUUGACAAAUCAAGUACAAAGAGGUUUUUCAACUCUCCCAGGCUUGCCGGAAUUGACCCCUCCAAGUU